GAGGGUAUAGCUCAGUGGUAGAGCACGUGCUUAGCAUGCACAAGGUCCUGGGUUCAAGCCCCAGUAUCUCCA
rnacentral:tRNA from 1 species